UGACAUUGCAAGGGAGGAGCUUGAAGCGCUCUGAUAUUUUUUAAGGUGGAACGGAUAGUUAGGCGAAUAAGGAGCUGGCGAAUCGGGAGCUGGAUUCAGCCUCCGACUCUGAUGACGGAACCGAGCCAUGUGUAUUUUGAUAAACACUAUGCGCGCUCGAUACAGUAUUUGUAAUAUUUAUAUUAGCAUCUGAUGUCGGAACCGAGCCAUUAGUCUUUUCGCUCGAUAGAUUAUUUGCGACAGUAACAUUAGCGGUUUUGCUAUCCUCAACUAGCGUUCGGAUGCGCGAUUCUAGUUCAGCAACCUUCUCAGUUAACCUUAAUACUUCAAUACACUUAGUGCAUGUAAACCCCUCUAUGCUAACAGCAGAAGCUAAACUAUACAUGUG